UAUGGUGUAGCUCAGUGUUAAAGUUUGUGCCUAGCAUCCACAUGGCCUUGGGUUUAACCCAAUACUAUAU
rnacentral:tRNA from 1 species